CAGCCGCCGCGGUAAUACCGGCGGCCCGAGUGGCGGUCACUAUUAUUGGGCUUAAAGCGUCCGUAGCCGGGUUGGGAAGUCCUCCGGGAAAUCUGGCCGCUUAACGGUCAGAAUGCCGGAGGAUACUCCCAGCCUAGGGAGCGGGAGAGGCCGAGGGGAUUCCCGGCGUAGGGGUGAAAUCCUAUAAUCCCGGGAGGACCACCUGUGGCGAAGGCGCUCGGCUGGGACGCGUCCGACGGUGAGGGACGAAGGCCAGGGGAGCAAACCGGAUUAGAUACCCGGGUAGUCCUGGCUGUAAACGAUGCGGACUUUGUGUCGGACAAGCUAUGAGCUUGUCCGGUGCCGGAGGGAAACCGUUAAGUCCGCCGCCUGGGGAGUACGGCCGCAAGGCUGAAACUUAAAGGAAUUGGCGGG
rnacentral:rRNA from 1 species